GGCAAACUUCCGGCAGUCUUCCGAUGAACUCUCGGAAACCAUUCUGCGGACUCCCCGGCAAGCUCCUAGACUUCACGAUUUGUUCUUAGCGAGUUCCAACGAGCUUCUUCGGCAAGCUCCGAUCUUUCUUGGCGAGCUGCGCGAACUCCCAACGAACCUUCAGACUUCCGUCGAACUCUCGAACUCGCAACAAAUCCUUCGCGCUUGACUCCGACACUUUGUUUCGCUUUAUGUCUUCAUCGUUAUCAUAGUUAAUCCUGCACAAUUAAAACAAAACUUCAAUCGAGACAAUUAAUCCUAAGCAAUUAACCAAGUUGUCCGACAUGUCAUUGGUCCCUCGACGCUUCGUCCGAUUCUUCGGCUCAUCAUCCUCUCCUGCGGCCUAUUGCCCAAUCGGCCAGUUGACUCCGCAACUCCGAUAUCCUUGGCGCAAUACCCGCUCUUCUUGGCCCGAUGCCCGAGUCCACGGCCCGAAGCCUUCUGUCGAUACGUCGACCGAUCCACCGGCCCGACGUCCAAUCUUCUGACAUGUUCCUUCGGCACAACAUGAUUUUCCUGCUUUAAUUGUCUCAUUC
rnacentral:lncRNA from 1 species